rnacentral:rRNA from 1 species
UGAGGAAUUUUGCGCAAUGGACGAAAGUCUGACGCAGCAACGCCGCGUGAAGGAUGAAGGUCUUUGGAUUGUAAACUUCUGUUGAUUGGGAAGAAAGAAUUUUGGUUAAUAGCUGAAAUUUAUGACGUUACCAGUUUAGAAAGCCCUGGCUAACUUCGUGCCAGCAGCCGCGGUAAUACGAAGGGGGCAAGCGUUAUUCGGAUUGAUUGGGCGUAAAGGGUGUGUAGGCGGUGCAAUAAGUUUGUUGUUUAAUUUUCUGGCCUAACCAGAAGCAUGCAGCAAAUACUGUUGUACUAGAGUUUGGUAGAGAGAAGUGGAAUUCUCGGAGUAGCGGUUAAAUGCGUAGAUCUCGAGAGGAACGCCGAUGGCGAAAGCAGCUUCUUGGAUCAAUACUGACGCUGAAACACGAAAGCGUGGGGAGCAAACAGG